UGAGGAAUAUUGGGCAAUGGACGCAAGUCUGACCCAGCCAUGCCGCGUGCAGGAUGACGGCCCUAUGGGUUGUAAACUGCUUUUAUAUGGAAAGAAACCCAUCUACGUGUAGAUGGCUGACGGUACCAUAUGAAUAAGCAUCGGCUAACUCCGUGCCAGCAGCCGCGGUAAUACGGAGGAUGCAAGCGUUAUCCGGAUUUAUUGGGUUUAAAGGGUCCGUAGGCGGGCUUUUAAGUCAGUGGUGAAAGCCUACAGCUUAACUGUAGAAAUGCCAUUGAUACUGGAAGUCUUGAGUAUUGUUGAAGUAGGCGGAAUACGUCAUGUAGCGGUGAAAUGCAUAGAUAUGACGUAGAACACCGAUUGCGAAGGCAGCUUACUAAGCAAUAACUGACGCUGAGGGACGAAAGCGUGGGGAGCAAACAGG
rnacentral:rRNA from 1 species